UGCAAAGAAGGUUGGAAGUAUCUAGACUCAACUGAACCAAAUCCUAACGUUGCAACUGGGGCUCUCGUUGGUGGUCCAUUUCUUAAUGAGACAUAUAUCGAUUCAAGGAACAACUCGGUUCAAGGAGAGCCAACCACAUACAAUAGUGCUGUGGUUGUUGCCCUUCUUUCUGGUUUGGUUUCCACUUCCUCAGUGGUUCAAUCUUUCACCUGAGCUGGAUACCAUCUCACGUCGUACGUCUCUUAUCAUACGUAGAUGCAUACAUAUUUUUUUUAUUUCUUGUAGCUCCUUGAACCCAUAAAGGUUGCUUUAUAUAUAUAUGUGUGUAUGUUAGUGUGUAUCACAUCAACUGUUCUUGUGUACUUAUAUCAAAUAUAUGUGCUGAACAGGGAUAAGAGUUUUUGUAGUAUUACUUUGCUCAAAAU
rnacentral:misc_RNA from 1 species